rnacentral:lncRNA from 1 species
UAAUAAAAAAAAAAACUGUGGGUUUUCAAAAUAUCAAAGGACUACAUGGACUAAAGUAACAAACAUACAACAGGCAAACUUUGUGUUUAUAUACUACCGGUAGUAUAUUUUUCCUUAAUUAUUAAGCCAAGGUUCCAAAAGAAUAUGGUGCACAGUUGGGUAAUUUCCUGAUCUCAGGUAAUACCACAUAUGAAAUAUGUGCCUCUUUUCAGAAAAAUAGGCCACUUCACGGUUAUUUCGGCCAUAUUGAACGUGUGAUUGUUUUUUAAAUAGGUGAAAAUAGCAUGAGAUUAUGGGAAAUCUAUGUAUGUUUCCCAGCAUCUACUUUGUUUUAAUGAUGUUUUCACAUAUUUUUCAGACCAAUUUUACCUCCAUUAUGAAAUUCUGCCACUUUUUAAUAUGGCCAAACUAAUUGAGAAGGGGCCUAUUCUAAUCAACAUUGUGAUUAAAUAGUUGACACAGCAUAGGUUUCUGACACAUAAUGAAUGUGGUCUAAUGAACUUAAAAUAAUUUUUUUGCCUUUGAGCAAUUCACUAUGCUGUUGAAUAUUAAUCCUCUAGAUCUCAAAAAAAUGUUUGAAGAAAUUUUCUUUUUAUUUAUGAAAUCUGAAAUGAGGAAAAUUUAACCCCCCCCCCCCCCCCCCCCCAUAUUUUUUUCACAUCCCCCUUUCCCUUUUUCCAAAACUGAUCUCAGUUCAAAUUUCUAAUGGAGUUUGCAACAAUAACUACUCAUUUAAAUACAUCAUAAAAUAUUAAAAUGUAAAAUAAAGUGCUUGUUAAUCACUGAAUGGUAAAGAUUGUUUUAAUUUAUCAGUUGGUAGUAAAAGUGAAUAUACAUUGUAUAUUGUAUAAAACAAUGAUUUAAGUUGAUUCAACUACUAUUCUGGACAAAGAAAGAUAACUCCAAUCAAUUGAAAAUUUCUUGCUAUUGCACAAUAUUGUGCAAUUAGAUAUUUCUUGCUAUUG